rnacentral:rRNA from 1 species
GUAACAAGGUUUCCGUAGGUGAACCUGCGGAAGGAUCAUUACCGAGUUCUCGGGCUUCGGCUCGAAUCUCCCACCCUUUGUGAACAUACCUCUGUUGCUUUGGCGGCUCUUUGCCGCGAGGAGGCCCUCGCGGGCCCCCCCGCGCGCUUUCUGCCAGAGGACCUUCAAACUCCAGUCAGUAAACGUCGACGUCUGAUAAACAAGUUAAUAAACUAAAACUUUCAACAACGGAUCUCUUGGUUCUGGCAUCGAUGAAGAACGCAGCGAAAUGCGAUAAGUAAUGUGAAUUGCAGAAUUCAGUGAAUCAUCGAAUCUUUGAACGCACAUUGCGCCCCCUGGCAUUCCGGGGGGCAUGCCUGUUCGAGCGUCAUUACAACCCUCAAGCUCUGCUUGGUAUUGGGCGCCGUCCUCUCUGCGGACGCGCCUUAAAGACCUCGGCGGUGGCUGUUCAGCCCUCAAGCGUAGUAGAAUACACCUCGCUUUGGAGCGGUUGGCGUCGCCCGCCGGACGAACCUUCUGAACUUUUCUCAAGGUUGACCUCGGAUCAGGUAGGGAUACCCGCUGAACUUAAGCAUAU